CCCUACUCUCUACAUUUCACUUCAGCCGCCUCACACUCUCACCCUCAAUUCUUUUCUUUUCUCCUCUACACAGACGCUUAGAUCCAAUUGCCUCAUCCUUGCCGCCGAUCCAAAUAAAAAAAAAAUCCUGAUCUGAUCUGUUCUGCUCUGCUUCUCUGUUACUAUAAACUGAUUCUUUUAUUACUCACACAAAUCGAUCAUCAAUGACCGUGAAACCGGUAGAUCUAGAGGAUUGGGAUUCGUCACCUUCAGCGGAAAACGACGUCGUCGUCAUCGGCGGUGGCCCUGGUGGCUACGUGGCCGCCAUCAAAGCUCGUGAGCGAUUAUUCAUACGCUUCUCACAUUGAAUUCCAUUUCCAUAGGCUCCGUUUUUUCUCCAGGGGCUAAUAAUUGAAAGAAUCCAAACUGAGCCUGCGGAGGGUAAGAGAAAGAUCAUCUAUCUUGGGAAUGGAGCACAGGUUUAGAAGAGAAGCUUUCAGAUAAAUACAAAGACAAAAUAGUUGAUUAGAAAAGAUUGGUGAAUGAGGUAGGUCCUAGGUCUCUAGGGCCAUAGGGAACAUGCCGAAGGUUUCAUCGGCACUUUUCUUCAAUUACAACACCUCGAUGGGACUGCCAUAUCAGGUUUUGUUGGACUUGGAGAAGGGAAUGAUGGACUGCCUAUAUGCAAAAUGUGAGUUUGGAAUCACUGGUUUCUUUAAUUUAAUUUAAUGUGAAUAUUAAUUUGCUGCAAGAAUUGUUGUGCCAUGUUGAUGAGGUAUCAUAAGUUCAACAUAGCUGUUAAUGUGGUUUUAUAACAAGCAUUGAGUGCCAUGUAUCAUUGGCAAACACUUAAAUAUGUGUUGGUUGCUUAAUGAUAUUUAUCAAAAUAUUACUCUU